rfam:Oryzias latipes DNA, chromosome7, strain: Hd-rR.
GUAGGCUAUGGAGACAUGGUUCCGACAACCAUUGGAGGAAAAAUUGUUGGGUCUCUAUGUGCAAUUGCUGGUGUGCUGACCAUUGCCCUGCCUGUGCCCGUCAUUGUAUCAAAU